GUGCUCAAUUCAGCAUCACGUACACUAAUAUUGGAAAAAUACAGAGAAGAUUAGCAUGCCCCUGCAUAAGGAUGACAGGCAAAUUCCUGAAGCAUUCCAGCAGAUG